UGUUGUUUUUACAAUUAUUGGACUGCCGCC
rnacentral:piRNA from 1 species